AAUAGGGCGGCACCUUGACGGUACCUCACCAGAAAGCCCCGGCUAACUACGUGCCAGCAGCCGCGGUUAUACGUAGGGGGCAAGCGUUGUCCGGAAUUAUUGGGCGUAAAGCGCACGCAGGCGGUUCCUUAAGUCUGAUGUGAAAGGCCACAGCUCAACUGUGGAGGCCCAUUGGAAACUGGGGAACUUGAGGACAGAAGAGGAGAGCGGAAUUCCACGUGUAGCGGUGAAAUGCGUAGAUAUGUGGAGGAACACCAGUGGCGAAGGCGGCUCUCUGGUCUGUAUCUGACGCUGAGGCGCGAAAGCAUGGGUAGCGAACAGGAUUAGAUACCCUGGUAGUCCAUGCCGUAAACGUUGAGUGCUAGGUGUUAGGGGGUCCAACCCUUAGUGCUGCAGUUAACGCAAUAAGCACUCCGCCUGGGGAGUACGGCCGCAAGGCUGAAACUCAAAGGAAUUGACGGGGGCCUGCACAAGCGGUGGAGCAUGUGGUUUAAUUCGAAGCAACGCGAAGAACCUUACCAGGUCUUGACAUCUUCGGACAGCCCAAGAGAUUGGGUCUUCCCUUCGGGGACCGAAUGACAGGUGGUGCAUGGUUGUCGUCAGCUCGUGUCGUGAGAUGUUGGGUUAAGUCCCGUAACGAGCGCAACCCCUGAUCUUAGUUGCCAGCAUUGAGUUGGGCACUCUAGGAUGACUGCCGGUGACAAACCGGAGGAAGGCGGGGAUGACGUCAAAUCAUCAUGCCCCUUAUGACCUGGGCUACACACGUGCUACAAUGGAUGGUACAAAGGGAAGCCAAACCGCGAGGUCGAGCUAAUCCCAUAAAGCCAUUCUCAGUUCGGAUUGUAGGCUGCAACUCGCCUGCAUGAAGCCGGAAUCGCUAGUAAUCGCGGAUCAGAAUGCCGCGGUGAAUACGUUCCCAGGCCUUGUACACACCGCCCGUCACACCACGAGAGUUGGCAACACCCGAAGACGCCCACCG
rnacentral:rRNA from 1 species